rnacentral:rRNA from 1 species
UACGUAGGGUGCGAGCGUUAAUCGGAAUUACUGGGCGUAAAGCGUGCGCAGGCGGUUAGUCGUGUCCGAUGUGAAAGCCCCGGGCUCAACCUGGGAAUGGCAUUGGAAACUGGCGGACUCGAGUGUGGCAGAGGGGGGUGGAAUUCCGCGUGUAGCAGUGAAAUGCGUAGAGAUGCGGAGGAACACCGAUGGCGAAGGCAGCCCCCUGGGCUAACACUGACGCUCAGGCACGAAAGCGUGGGGAGCAAACAGG